CUUGGUCAUUUAGAGGAAGUAAAAGUCGUAACAAGGUUUCCGUAGGUGAACCUGCGGAAGGAUCAUUCAUAAUAAGUGUUUUAUGGCACUUUUUAAAUCCAUAUCCACCUUGUGUGCAAUGUCAAUCGAUCUUCUUCAUGGAGAUCGGCCAAACAUCAACCUUAUCUUUUAACUCUUUGUCUGAAAAAUAUUAUGAAUAAACAAUUCAAAAUACAACUUUCAACAACGUAUCUCUUGGCUCUCGCAUCGAUGAAGAACGCAGCGAAAUGCGAUACGUAAUGUGAAUUGCAGAAUUCAGUGAAUCAUCGAAUCUUUGAACGCACAUUGCGCCCGCCAGUAUUCUGGCGGGCAUGCCUGUUCGAGCGUCAUUUCAACCAUCAAGCCCCCGGCUUGUGUUGGGGACCUGCGGCUGCCGCAGGCCCUGAAAUGCAGUGGCGGGCUCGCUGUCACUCCGAGCGUAGUAGUUACAUCUCGCUCUGGGCGUGCUGCGGGUUCCGGCCGUUAAAAGCCUUAUUUACCCAAGGUUGACCUCGGAUCAGGUAGGAAGACCCGCUGAACUUAAGCAUAUCAAUAAGCGGAGGA
rnacentral:misc_RNA from 1 species